rnacentral:rRNA from 1 species
CCUUUGACGUUAGCGGCGGACGGGUGAGUAACACGUGGGUAACCUACCUAUAAGACUGGGAUAACUUCGGGAAACCGGAGCUAAUACCGGAUAAUAUUUCGAACCGCAUGGUUCGAUAGUUAAAGAUGGUUUUGCUAUCACUUAUAGAUGGACCCGCGCCGUAUUAGCUAGUUGGUAAGGUAACGGCUUACCAAGGCGACGAUACGUAGCCGACCUGAGAGGGUGAUCGGCCACACUGGAACUGAGACACGGUCCAGACUCCUACGGGAGGGCAGCAGUG